GUGCAGCAGUCGCGAAUCCUCCGCAAUACACGAAAGUGUGACGGGGUUACCCAAAGUGUCCAAAUUUGGACUGUGGUAGGUGAGUAAUGUCCCUACUAGAAAGGAGAGGGCAAGGCUGGUGCCAGCCGCCGCGGUAAAACCAGCUCUUCAAGUGGUCGGGAUAAUUAUUGGGCUUAAAGUGUCCGUAGCCGGUUUAGUAAGUUCCUGGUAAAAUCGGGUAGCUUAACUAUCUGUAUGCUAGGAAUACUGCUAUACUAGAGGGCGGGAGAGGUCUGAGGUACUACAGGGGUAGGGGUGAAAUCCUGUAAUCCUUGUAGGACCACCAGUGGCGAAGGCGUCAGACUGGAACGCGCCUGACGGUGAGGGACGAAAGCCAGGGGAGCGAACCGGAUUAGAUACCCGUGUAGU
rnacentral:rRNA from 1 species